rnacentral:rRNA from 1 species
GGAAUAUUGGUCAAUGGAGGCAACUCUGAACCAGCCAUGCCGCGUGCAGGAAGACGGUCCUAUGGAUUGUAAACUGCUUUUAUACAGGAAUAAACCUAUCCUCGUGAGGAUAGCUGAAGGUACUGUAGGAAUAAGGAUCGGCUAACUCCGUGCCAGCAGCCGCGGUAAUACGGAGGAUCCAAGCGUUAUCCGGAAUCAUUGGGUUUAAAGGGUUCGUAGGCGGUUUAAUAAGUCAGUGGUGAAAUCUCCUAGCUUAACUAGGAAAUGGCCAUUGAUACUGUUAGACUUGAAUUAUUGGGAAGUAACUAGAAUAUGUAGUGUAGCGGUGAAAUGCUUAGAUAUUACAUGGAAUACCAAUUGCGAAGGCAGGUUACUAUCAAUACAUUGACGCUGAUGAACGAAAGCGUGGGUAGCGAACAGGAUUAGAUACCCUAG